UACGAAGGGGGCUAGCGUUGCUCGGAAUCACUGGGCGUAAAGGGCGCGUAGGCGGACUCUUAAGUCGGGGGGUGAAAGCCCAGGGCUCAACCCUGGAAUUGCCUUCGAUACUGAGAGUCUUGAGUUCGGAAGAGGUUGGUGGAACUGCGAGUGUAGAGGUGAAAUUCGUAGAUAUUCGCAAGAACACCAGUGGCGAAGGCGGCCAACUGGUCCGAUACUGACGCUGAGGCGCGAAAGCGUGGGGAGCAAACAGG
rnacentral:rRNA from 1 species